rnacentral:lncRNA from 1 species
GGAGGCUGGGAGGGGAGUCUGGGAGGGGAGACUGGGGAGGGGACUCAGGAGGGAAGGCUGGGAGGGGACAUUGGUGAGGGGACAUUGGUGUUGGGGAUGGUGAGGGGACAUUUGUGAGGGGACAUUGGUGUUGGGACGGUGAGGGGGCAUUGGUGUUGGGACCAUGAGGGGACAUUGUGAGGGGACAUUGGUGUUAGGACCGUGAGGGAACAUUUGUGUGGGGACAUUGGUGUUGGGACAAUGAAGGGGACAUUUGUGAGGGGACACUGGUGUUGGGACCAUGAGGGGACAUUGGUGUUAGGACCAUGAGGGGACAUUGGUGUUGGGACCAUGAGGGGACAUUUGUGAGGGAUGCUGGUGAGGGGAUGCUGGUGUGGUGUAAUUGGUGAAGGGCCAAUGGUGAGCGGCAGUUGCUGGGUGGAGCUGUGGGUAGAGCCUGUAGGUAGCUGGAAGUCCCUUCCAGUGGGACUGACGUUCCUGCCCUGCAGGGUCCGAGGCUGCACACGUGGGAGCUGGCACGAGAGAGGGG